UAGGGAAUUUUCGUCAAUGGGCGCAAGCCUGAACGAGCGAUGCCGCGUGAGUGAAGAAGGCCUUGGUCGUAAGCUCUGUUGCGGGGGAAAAAAGGACAGCAUCAGGAAAUGGGUGCUGACUGAUGGUGCCCCGCCAGAAAGUCACGGCUAACUACGUGCC
rnacentral:rRNA from 1 species